UCCGGUUCAUCACCGGCAGUCUCCUUAGAGUCCCCAACUUAAUGAUGGCAACUAAGGACAAGGGUUGCGCUCGUUACGGGACUUAACCCAACAUCUCACAACACGAGCUGACGACAGCCAUGCAGCACCUGUCUCUGCGUUCCUCUCGGCACUCCGGCUGCUAGGCCAGAUUCGCAGGAUGUCAAAAGUAGGUAAGGUUCUUCGCGUUGCAUCGAAUUAAACCACAUGCUCCACCGCUUGUGCGGGCCCCCGUCAAUUCCUUUGAGUUUCAACCUUGCGGCCGUACUUCCCAGGCGGAAGACUUAUCGCGUUAGCUUCGAUACUGAUCGGUUCCCCAACCAACAUCUAGUCUUCAUCGUUUACAGCGUGGACUAC
rnacentral:misc_RNA from 1 species